GACGAACGCUGGCGGCGUGCUUAACACAUGCAAGUCGAGCGGAAAGGCCCUUCGGGGUACUCGAGCGGCGAACGGGUGAGUAACACGUGAGCAACCUGCCCUAGGCUUUGGGAUAACUGCGGGAAACUGUAGCUAAUACCGGAUACGACCCUCGGCGGCAUCGCCAGGGGGUGGAAAGAAUUUCGGUCAAGGAUGGACUCGCGGCCUAUCUGCUAGUUGGUGAGGUAACGGCUCACCAAGGCGACGACGGGUAGCCGGCCUGAGAGGGUGACCGGCCACACUGGGACUGAGACACGGCCCAGACUCCUACGGGAGGCAGCAGUGGGGAAUAUUGCACAAUGGGCGCAAGCCUGAUGCAGCAACGCCGCGUGAGGGAUGACGGCCUUCGGGUUGUAAACCUCUUUUAGUAGGGAAGAAGCGAAAGUGACGGUACCUGCAGAAAAAGCACCGGCUAACUACGUGCCAGCCGCCGCAGUAA
rnacentral:rRNA from 1 species